rnacentral:rRNA from 1 species
UACUGUAAUGAGACCUUACAGGACUGAAGUGGAGAAAGGUUCCAUGUGAACAGCACUUGGACAUGGGUUAGUCGAUCCUAAGAGAUAGGGAAGCUCCGUUGAAAAGGAGUGCGGUUCUCCCCGGCGCAAGCCGGGCGCCAGAGCGCACCGCCUAUCGAAAGGGAAGCGGGUUAAUAUUCCCGCACCAGGACGUGGAUAUUGCGUGGCAACACAAGCGAACUCGGAGACGCCGGCAGGGAGCCUGGGAAGAGUUAUCUUUUCUUUUUAACAGCCUCUUGCCCUGGAAUCGCAUUACGCGGAGAUAGGGCUCCAUGGCUGGGAAAGCACCUCACGUCUCGAGGUGUCCGGUGCCUCUCUGACGGUCCGUGAAAAUCCGAGGGAGGGAUUUAUUCGCACCCCCUGGUCGUACUCAUAACCGCAUCAGGUCUCCUAGGUCAGAAGCCUC